rnacentral:tRNA from 1 species
GGGCGCUUAGCUCAGCGGUAGAGCACGGCUUUCACACGGCCGGGGUCGUAGGUUCAAUCCCUACAGCGCCCACCA